AUUCUGUAUAGAGUACAGUUUAACUGAUGAUGUUUUGUUGCCUGGAUGAUCUGUCCGUUCGCGAUAGUGGGGUGUUGAUUACGGUGGAGUGUUGAGUCCUUUAGGUUGUUUGAGGGACAUUCAUCAAGGAAACCGGAUAAACUUAAAACGCUCUUCCACUUCUUUGGAACAGUCACAGAGAAAAGUGAACUCCUUUCAUUCUUGCAGUAAUUUUUCUUGCUGAUGGGAACAGUUCAAGUCAAGUGACAUGGAUCAUGGCACAAGCUGCAGUUUCCACCCUGCCCAUUGAAGAUGAGGAGUCCAUGGAAGAUGAGGAGUCCGUUGAAGAUGAGUCUGUUGAAGAUGAGUCCGCAGAGAGCAGGAUGGUGGUGACAUUGCUCAUAUCAGCUCUUGAGUCCAUGGAUCAUGGCACAAGUUGCAGUUUCCACUCUGCCCAUUGAAGAUGAGGAGUCUGCUGAAGAUGAGGAGACAUUGGAGAGCAGGAUGGUGGUGACAUUCCUAAUGUCAGCUCUUGAGUCCACGGACAAUAAUACCCCACUUUUAUUCGCUAUAAUUUGCAAGAAAGAGAAAAUGGUGGAAUUUUUAUUGAAAAAGAAAGCAAGUGCACAAUGCCGUUGAUAGGCUGAGACGGU
rnacentral:lncRNA from 1 species